AUGGCUCAGAUUGAACGCUGGCGGCAGGCUUAACACAUGCAAGUCGAACGGUAGCGGGAAGAAAGCUUGCUUUCUUUGCCGACGAGUGGCGGACGGGUGAGUAAUGCUUGGGGAUCUGGCUUAUGGAGGGGGAUAACGACGGGAAACUGUCGCUAAUACCGCGUAAUAUCUUCGGAUUAAAGGGUGGGACUUUCGGGCCACCCGCCAUAAGAU
rnacentral:rRNA from 1 species